rnacentral:rRNA from 1 species
CGGGUGAGUAACGCGUGAGCAACCUGCCUAUGACAGUGGGAUAGCCUCGGGAAACCGGGAUUAAUACCGCAUAAAAUCGUAGAAACACAUGUUUCAAUGGUCAAAGAUUUAUCGGUCAUAGAUGGGCCCGCGUCUGAUUAGCUAGUUGGUGAGAUAACAGCCCACCAAGGCACGAUCAGUAGCCGGUCUGAGAGGAUGAACGGCCACAUUGGAACUGAGACACGGUCCAAACUCCUACGGGAGGCAGCAGGG